rnacentral:rRNA from 1 species
CCUACGGGGCGCAGCAGUGGGGAAUAUUGCACAAUGGGGGAAACCCUGAUGCAGCGACGCCGCGUGAGUGAAGAAGUAUUUCGGUAUGUAAAGCUCUAUCAGCAGGAACGAGACAAGACGGUACCUGACUAAGAAGCCCCGGCUAACUACGUGCCAGCAGCCGCGGUAAUACGUAGGGGGCAAGCGUUAUCCGGAAUCACUGGGUGUAAGGGGAGCGUAGACGGCUGUGCAAGCCUGAAGUGAAAGGCGGGGGCCCAACCCCGGGACUGCUUUGGGAACUGUACGGCUGGAGUGCAGGAGAGGUAAGUGGAAUUCCUAGUGUAGCGGUGAAAUGCGUAGAUAUUAGGAGGAACACCAGUGGCGAAGGCGGCUUACUGGACUGUAACUGACGUUGAGGCUCGAAAGCGUGGGGAGCAAACAGGAUUAGAUACCCGUGUAGUC